CUCUUGGUUAAAGUCACCAAGGGGAAAAUCACAGAAGGAAUAAAUUUAUAUCUGUGCAUUUGUUUAUCAUCUAAAAGAAGAAAAAAAAAACACUCCUUAAUAUAGAGGUAAUAUAUGUUUUAUGUAUCUUUUAAAAAUGUAUGCACAAUAUAUGUGUCAUUCUGAAUUUGAGAUUUAAAACCUUCAUCAGGGAUCCCUGGGUGGCGCAGCGGUUUAGCGCCUGCCUUUGGCCCAGGGCGCAAUCCUGGAGACCCGGGAUCGAAUCCCACGUCAGGCUCCCGGUGCAUGGAGCCUGCUUCUCCCUCUGCCUAUGUCUCUGCCUCUCUCUCUCUCUCUCUCUCUCUCUCUGUGACUAUCAUAAAUAAAUAAAAAAAAUUUUAAAACCUUCAUCAGCUUGGCUGAAAUAAAUUGACCUUUGAGUCAAGGCAGAUAAUAUUCUUGAACUUUGGUUUUUCCUCUCUGUUAAAGUGUUUAACUAAACUGAAGUGAUUUUGUCACUUCAAAAUUUCCUUAUUCUUACUUUUUGCAAUGAAAAUUGGAAAGAAAAAAUAUCUGCACAUGGAUAGGUGAUAAUCAGAAGAGAGAAAAAGAAGAGCUUCAGGUACAUUCAGCUUUCUUCCCAGGAUAUCCAGGUACUCCAGAGACACUUUCAAAACUAGAGAGAACCUCCCUUGCAUGUACUUGUUUGUGGACUAUCAAAGAAACAAAAAGUCUCCACAGACUUACCACUGUACAUUGCCUUUGCUUUUCUCUCUCUCAUCAGGGGUCAGCAAAAGAAACUGCUGUUUUCCAGAUGGAGUACACAAUCUAUUCCCAAGCUAUACUUCUCCCAAAUAUAAUCUCCAAAGACUCUCAGUUUUUACAUUUGCAAGCAUCAAGGACAUCCAGGUCAUGGGAGUGAUGUAUUGUGAAUUUGGAAAUGUAAAUCCAAGAAUCCGCGCAUUCAAAGAUAACUACUGGAUUAGCUCGACCUGAUUCCAUCUUUUCCAAUGAAGUGUGAGACCAUCUUUAUGUUGUUUUUGAGGUUUUCCUUUGGUAAAUCUGCCUAAAUUUAUUAGUUAUAAACUUUUGAAUAUUUAAAUAA
rnacentral:lncRNA from 12 species